rnacentral:rRNA from 1 species
AGUGAACGCUGGCGGUAGGCCUAACACAUGCAAGUCGAACGGCAGCACAGUAAGAGCUUGCUCUUACGGGUGGCGAGUGGCGGACGGGUGAGGAAUACAUCGGAAUCUACUUUUUCGUGGGGGAUAACGUAGGGAAACUUACGCUAAUACCGCAUACGACCUACGGGUGAAAGCAGGGGAUCUUCGGACCUUGCGCGAUUGAAUGAGCCGAUGUCGGAUUAGCUAGUUGGCGGGGUAAAGGCCCACCAAGGCGACGAUCCGUAGCUGGUCUGAGAGGAUGAUCAGCCACACUGGAACUGAGACACGGUCCAGACUCCUACGGGAGGCAGCAGUGGGGAAUAUUGGACAAUGGGCGCAAGCCUGAUCCAGCCAUACCGCGUGGGUGAAGAAGGCCUUCGGUUUGUAAAGCCCUUUUGUUGGGAAAGAAAGGCAGCAGGUUAAUACCCCGCUGUUCUGACGGUACCCAAAGAAUAAGCACCGGCUAACUUCGUG